rnacentral:misc_RNA from 1 species
AACCUUAUGGACCUGCGGGCGUAUACCUGCGGAAGGAUCAUUACCUAGAGUUGUAGGCUUUGCCUGCUAUCUCUUACCCAUGUCUUUUGAGUACCUUACGUUUCCUCGGUGGGUUCGCCCGCCGGUUGGACAAAACUUAAACCCUUUGUAGUUGCAAUCAGCGUCUGAAAAAACUUAAUAGUUACAACUUUCAACAACGGAUCU